CAGUAGCCGCGGGAAUACGAAGGGUGCAAGCGUUAAUCGGAAUUACUGGGCGUAAAGCGUGCGUAGGCGGUGAGUUAAGUCUGCUGUGAAAUCCCCGGGCUCAACCUGGGAACUGCAUUUGUGACUGGCAAGCUAGAGUGUGGCAGAGGGGGUGGAAUUCCGCGUGUAGCAGUGAAAUGCGUAGAUAUGCGGAGGAACACCGAUGGCGAAGGCAGCCCCCUGGGCCAACACUGACGCUCAUGCACGAAAGCGUGGGGAGCAAACAGGAUUAGAGACCCCCGUAGUCCCUGUCUCUUAUACC
rnacentral:rRNA from 1 species